rnacentral:rRNA from 1 species
AAAUUGAAGAGUUUGAUCAUGGCUCAGAUUGAACGCUGGCGGCAGGCCUAACACAUGCAAGUCGAGCGGCAGCGGAAAGUAGCUUGCUACUUUGCCGGCGAGCGGCGGACGGGUGAGUAAUGUCUGGGAAACUGCCUGAUGGAGGGGGAUA